rnacentral:rRNA from 1 species
UGGUAUGACUGGUACAAUUGGUUUCUCCCUUCUGACGAAGCAUGAUGUCAUUAAUUUGGUGUCGUGGGGAAUCAGGACUGUUACUUUGAAAAAAUUAGAGUGUUUAAAGCAAGCAUUAGCUUGAAUACAUUAGCAUGGAAUAAUGAAAUAGGACGUUUGAUCCUAUUUCGUUGGUUUCUAGGAUCGACGUAAUGAUUAAUAGGGAUAGUUGGGGGCAUUAGUAUUCAAUUGCCAGAGGUGAAAUUCUUGGAUUUAUUGAAGACUAACUACUGCGAAAGCAUUUGCCAAGGAUGUUUUCAUUAAUCAAGAACGAAAGUUAGGGGAUCGAAGACGAUCAGAUACCGUCGUAGUCUUAACCAUAAACUAUGCCGACUAGGGAUCGGAUGAUGUUAAUUUUUUAAUGACUCAUUCGGCGCCUUACG